GGGUGACUAGUGACAGAGUGAGGAAGGGGGUGACACAGUGACAGAGUGAGGGAGGGGGUGGCUAGUGACAGAGUGAAGGAGGUGGUGACUGUCACUAGUCACACCCUUCCCUCCCUCACUCUGUCACUAGUCACCACCUCCCUCUGUCACUACUCCCUCCCUCCUUCUGUCACUAGUCACCCCCUCCCUCACUGUGUCACUAGUCACCCCCUCACUCUGUCACUAGUCACCCC